UCUGCUGUGAUGAUCAAAUUUCAUAAACUUUCGUUCUUCUGAAGUUUUUUGAUGAGAUUAAUAAUCUGAGCAGA